GACGAACGCUGGCGGCGUGCUUAACACAUGCAAGUCGAACGGAAAGGCCCUGCUUUUGUGGGGUGCUCGAGUGGCGAACGGGUGAGUAACACGUGAGUAACCUGCCCUUAACUUUGGGAUAACUUCAGGAAACUGGGGCUAAUACCGGAUAGGAGCUCCUGCUGCAUGGUGGGGGUUGGAAAGUUUCGGCGGUUGGGGAUGGACUCGCGGCUUAUCAGCUUGUUGGUGGGGUAGUGGCUUACCAAGGCUUUGACGGGUAGCCGGCCUGAGAGGGUGACCGGCCACAUUGGGACUGAGAUACGGCCCAGACUCCUACGGGAGGCAGCAGUGGGGAAUAUUGCACAAUGGGCGGAAGCCCGAUGCAGCAACGCCGCGUGCGGGAUGACGGCCUUCGGGUUGUAAACCGCUUUCGCCUGUGACGAAGCGUGAGUGACGGUAAUGGGUAAAGAAGCACCGGCUAACUACGUG
rnacentral:rRNA from 1 species